AAUAAAUGGGUCUGUGAUGGACUUAGCAGAGUCAACCACUCUGGAGCUUGAUGCGUUCCUGUACAUUGAAAGUAUUGCAUUAGUCCAGAAAGGCCACUUGCCACAGCACAUCUCACUGAGCAUCUCACUAAAAGGACCUUGGGCUCAACUCGUCCACGCUGGCCAAGAUGUCCAUCUAAACUAAUCCUAUUUGCCCUCAUUUGACCCAUAGCCCUCUAAACUUUUUCCACCCAUGUACCUGUACAACUGUCUUUUAAAUGUUACUGUACCUCCCUUAACCACUCAUCUGGUAGCUUGUUUCAUACAUUUUCCAAUGUCUAUAGACUCUGGAUCA